rnacentral:rRNA from 1 species
GACGAACGCUGGCGGCGUGCCUAAUACAUGCAAGUAGAACGCUGAAGAGAGGAGCUUGCUCUUCUUGGAUGAGUUGCGAACGGGUGAGUAACGCGUAGGUAACCUGCCUUGUAGCGGGGGAUAACUAUUGGAAACGAUAGCUAAUACCGCAUAACAAUGGAUGACACAUGUCAUUUAUUUGAAAGGGGCAAUUGCUCCACUACAAGAUGGACCUGCGUUGUAUUAGCUAGUAGGUGAGGUAAUGGCUCACCUAGGCGACGAUACAUAGCCGACCUGAGAGGGUGAUCGGCCACACUGGGACUGAGACACGGCCCAGACUCCUACGGGAGGCAGUAGUAGGGAAUCUUCGGCAAUGGGGGCAACCCUGACCGAGCAACGCCGCGUGAGUGAAGAAGGUUUUCGGAUCGUAAAGUUCUGUUGUAAGUCAAGAACGGGUGUGAGAGUGGAAAGUUCACACUGUGACGGUAGCUUACCAGAAAGGGACGGCUAACUACAUG